rnacentral:lncRNA from 1 species
CUAAAUUUGCGUAGAAGAAAUAAUCCAAGUUUUAAAAAGUUCCACUUAGUGGUCAUUUCUGUGAAGAAAAUAAAUAGCGCUGGAUGACAGUUGAGACUUACGUGAUUCAAAGGCAGUUACGCGAAGCUCUGGGGAAGAGCUUUCCAGGAGAGGGAAUGGCAGGUGCACAAGCCCCAAGGUAAGAAAGGGAAAGGCUAAGACCAGAAGGCAGGCUGAUAUGGAGGAAUCUUCCAGAAGAAGUCCAAAGGAUGAACUGAGACUGGACUUGAGGCAGGACCUUGUGAGCCCAGAAGUGUCUGUCAGUUUCCUGAAAUUUUCACAGAAUUUUUCCUGCAUGCCCACCACUCCAAGUUUCAACAGACAAGGCUAAUUCAGUUCACUAGACAAGCAAGCACUUAAACUGAGAAGGCAGUGAUAAACACAGGAAGUUAUUUCACCCUGGGAAUAUUCCG